GUGAGGAAUAUUGGACAAUGGUCGGAAGACUGAUCCAGCCAUGCCGCGUGCAGGAAGACGGUCCUAUGGAUUGUAAACUGCUUUUGUACGGGAGCAAUAAGUGCCACGUGUGACACGAUGAGAGUACCGUACGAAUAAGCAUCGGCUAACUCCGUGCCAGCAGCCGCGGUAAUACGGAGGAUGCGAGCGUUAUCCGGAUUUAUUGGGUUUAAAGGGUGCGUAGGCGGCUUGACAAGUCAGCGGUGAAAUGCAAGGGCCUAACCCUUGACGUGCCGUUGAAACUGCCGGGCUAGAAUGCGGAUGCUGUGGGAGGAAUGUGUAGUGUAGCGGUGAAAUGCAUAGAUAUUACACAGAACACCGAUUGCGAAGGCAUCUCACAAAUCCGCUAUUGACGCUGAGGCACGAAAGUGCGGGGAUCAAACAGG
rnacentral:rRNA from 1 species